AGCAGCCGCGGUAAUUCCAGCUCCAAUAGCGUAUAUUAAAGUUGUUGCAGUUAAAAAGCUCGUAGUUGAAUUUCGGGAUCAAUACGUCGGUCGUGCUUCGGUACGUACUGGCGUCAUUGAUUUCUCCCUUCUGACGAACCAUGAUGUCAUUAACUUGGUGUCAUGGGAAAUCAGGACUGUUACUUUGAAAAAAUUAGAGUGUUUAAAGCAGGCUCACGCUUGAAUACAUUAGCAUGGAAUAAUGAAAUAGGACGUUCGAUCCUAUUUUGUUGGUUUUAGGAUCAACGUAAUGAUUAAUAGGGAUAGUUGGGGGCAUUAGUAUUCAAUUGUCAGAGGUGAAAUUCUUGGAUUUAUUGAAGACUAACUACUGCGAAAGCAUUUGCCAAGGAUGUUUUCAUUAAUCAAGAACGAAAGUUAGGGGAUCGAAGACGAUCAGAUACCGUCGUAGUCUUAACCAUAAACUAUGCCGACUAGGGAUCGGAUGAUGUUAAUUUUUAAUGACUCAUUCGGCGCCUUAAC
rnacentral:rRNA from 1 species